CAGUCGCCGCGGUAAUACGGAGGGAGCUAGCGUUGUUCGGAAUUACUGGGCGUAAAGCGCGCGUAGGCGGUUACUCAAGUCAGAGGUGAAAGCCCGGGGCUCAACCCCGGAACUGCCUUUGAAACUAGGUGACUAGAAUCUUGGAGAGGUCAGUGGAAUUCCGAGUGUAGAGGUGAAAUUCGUAGAUAUUCGGAAGAACACCAGUGGCGAAGGCGACUGACUGGACAAGUAUUGACGCUGAGGUGCGAAAGCGUGGGGAGCAAACAGGAUUAGAUACCCCGGUAGUCCCUGUCUCUUAUAC
rnacentral:rRNA from 1 species